UGGGGAAUCUUCGGCAAUGGACGGAAGUCUGACCGAGCAACGCCGCGUGAGUGAAGAAGGUUUUCGGAUCGUAAAGCUCUGUUGUAAGAGAAGAACGAGUGUGAGAGUGGAAAGUUCACACUGUGACGGUAUCUUACCAGAAAGGGACGGCUAACUACGUGCCAGCAGCCGCGGUAAUACGUAGGUCCCGAGCGUUGUCCGGAUUUAUUGGGCGUAAAGCGAGCGCAGGCGGUUAGAUAAGUCUGAAGUUAAAGGCUGUGGCUUAACCAUAGUACGCUUUGGAAACUGUUUAACUUGAGUGCAAGAGGGGAGAGUGGAAUUCCAUGUGUAGCGGUGAAAUGCGUAGAUAUAUGGAGGAACACCGGUGGCGAAAGCGGCUCUCUGGCUUGUAACUGACGCUGAGGCUCGAAAGCGUGGGGAGCAAACAGGAUUAGAUACCCUGGUAGUCCACGCCGUAAACGAUGAGUGCUAGGUGUUAGACCCUUUCCGGGGUUUAGUGCCGCAGCUAACGCAUUAAGCACUCCGCCUGGGGAGUACGACCGCAAGGUUG
rnacentral:rRNA from 1 species